AGGAUGGACGCUGGCGGCGUGCCUAAUACAUGCAAGUCGAGCGGUAAGGCCCCUUCGGGGGUACACGAGCGGCGGACGGCUGAGUAACACGUAGGAACGUACCCCAAACUGAGGGAUAAGCACCAGAAAUGGUGUCUAAUACCGCAUGUGGUCUUCGGAUUAAAGCUUCGGCGGUUUGGGAACGGCCUGCGCAUGAUUAGCUUGUUGGUGAGGUAAAAGCUUACCAAGGCGACGAUCAUUAGCUGGUCUGAGAGGAUGAUCAGCCAGACUGGGACUGAGAACGGCCCAGACUCCUACGGGAGGCAGCAGUAGGGAAUUUUCCACAAUGGGCGAAAGCCUGAUGGAGCAACGCCGCGUGCAGGACGAAGGCCUUCGGGUUGUAAACUGCUUUUAUAUGUGAAGAUUAUGACGGUAGCAUAUGAAUAAGGAUCGGCUAACUCCGUGCCAGCAGCCGAC
rnacentral:rRNA from 1 species